rnacentral:rRNA from 1 species
UACGGGGGGGGCAAGCGUUGUUCGGAAUUACUGGGCGUAAAGGGCUCGUAGGUGGCCAACUAAGUCAGACGUGAAAUCCCUCAGCUUAACUGGGGAACUGCGUCUGAUACUGGAUGGCUUGAGUUUGGGAGAGGGAUGCGGAAUUCCAGGUGUAGCGGUGAAAUGCGUAGAUAUCUGGAGGAACACCGGUGGCGAAGGCGGCAUCCUGGACCAACACUGGCACUGAGGAGCGAAAGCCUGGGGAGCAAACGG